rnacentral:rRNA from 1 species
UACGGGGGGGGCAAGCGUUGUUCGGAAUUACUGGGCGUAAAGGGCUCGUAGGUGGCCAAUUAAGUCAGACGUGAAAUCCCCAGGCUCAACCUGGGAACUGCGUCUGAUACUGGUUGGCUUGAAUUCGGGAGAGGGAUGCAGAAUUCCAGGUGUAGCGGUGAAAUGCGUAGAUAUCGGGAGGAACACCUGUGGCGAAGGCGACCCCCUGGUUGGAUACUGACGCUGAGACGCGAAAGCGUGGGGAGCAAACAGG